CCUACGGGGGGCUGCAGUCGAGAAUCUUCCGCAAUGGACGAAAGUCUGACGGAGCGACGCCGCGUGGUGGAUGAAGCCCUUAGGGGCGUAAACACCUUUUAUGAGUGAAGAGGUUUAUUGACAUUAGCUCAUGAAUAAGGGGCUCCCAACUCUGUGCCAGCAGGAGCGGUAAUACAGAGGCCCCAAGCAUUAUCCGGAUUCACUGGGCGUAAAGGGUGCGCAGGCGGUGAUGUUAGUCGGGUGUUAAAUCCUCAGGCUCAACCUGAGGCUCGCAUUCGAAACGGCAUCACUAGAAGAAGUCAGAGGUAAGCAGAACUCUCGGUGUAGGGGUGAAAUCCGUUGAUAUCGAGGGGAAUACCAAAUGCGAAGGCAGCUUACUGGGACUUUCUUGACGCUGAGGCACGAAAGCAUGGGUAGCGAACGGGAUUAGAUACCCGAGUAGUC
rnacentral:rRNA from 1 species